rnacentral:rRNA from 1 species
UGCAAGUCGAACGAUGAACCACUUCGGUGGGGAUUAGUGGCGAACGGGUGAGUAACACGUGGGCAAUCUGCCCUUCACUCUGGGACAAGCCCUGGAAACGGGGUCUAAUACCGGAUGAUACUUCUGCUCGCAUGGGUGGGGGUUGAAAGCUCCGGCGGUGAAGGAUGAGCCCGCGGCCUAUCAGCUUGUUGGUGAGGUAGUGGCUCACCAAGGCGACGACGGGUAGCCGGCCUGAGAGGGCGACCGGCCACACUGGGACUGAGACACGGCCCAGACUCCUACGGGAGGCAGCAGUGGGGAAUAUUGCACAAUGGGCGAAAGCCUGAUGCAGCGACGCCGCGUGAGGGAUGACGGCCUUCGGGUUGUAAACCUCUUUCAGCAGGGAAGAAGCGAAAGUGACGGUACCUGCAGAAGAAGCGCCGGCUAACUACGUGCCAGCAGCCGCGGUAAUACGUAGGGCGCAAGCGUUGUCCGGAAUUAUUGGGCGUAAAGAGCUCGUAGGCGGUCUGUCGCGUCGGAUGUGAAAGCCCGGGGCUUAACCCCGGGUCUGCAUUCGAUACGGGCAGACUAGAGUGUGGUAGGGGAGAUCGGAAUUCCUGGUGUAGCGGUGAAAUGCGCAGAUAUCAGGAGGAACACCGGUGGCGAAGGCGGAUCUCUGGGCCAUUACUGACGCUGAGGAGCGAAAGCGU